UACGUAGGGCGCAAGCGUUGUCCGGAAUUAUUGGGCGUAAAGAGCUCGUAGGCGGUUUGUCGCGUCUGUCGUGAAAGCUUGGGGCUUAACCCUAAGUCUGCGGUGGAUACGGGCAGGCUAGAGGCAGGUAGGGGAGAACGGAAUUCCCGGUGUAGCGGUGAAAUGCGCAGAUAUCGGGAGGAACACCGGUGGCGAAGGCGGGUCUCUGGGCAGUAACUGACACUGAGGAGCGAAAGCGUGGGGAGCGAACAGG
rnacentral:rRNA from 1 species